rnacentral:rRNA from 1 species
GACGAACGCUGGCGGCGUGCUUAACACAUGCAAGUCGAACGGAAAGGCCCUGCUUUUGUGGGGUGCUCGAGUGGCGAACGGGUGAGUAACACGUGAGUAACCUGCCCUUGACUUUGGGAUAACUUCAGGAAACUGGGGCUAAUACCGGAUAGGAGCUCCUGCUGCAUGGUGGGGGUUGGAAAGUUUCGGCGGUUGGGGAUGGACUCGCGGCUUAUCAGCUUGUUGGUGGGGUAGUGGCUUACCAAGGCUUUGACGGGUAGCCGGCCUGAGAGGGUGACCGGCCACAUUGGGGCUGAGAUACGGCCCAGACUCCUACGGGAGGCAGCAGUGGGGAAUAUUGCACAAUGGGCGGAAGCCUGAUGCAGCAACGCCGCGUGCGGGAUGACGGCCUUCGGGUUGUAAACCGCUUUCGCCUGUGACGAAGCGUGAGUGACGGCAAUGGGUAAAGAAGCACCGGCUAACUACGUG